GACGAACCGUGCGAACGUUGUUCGGAAUCACUGGGCUUAAAGGGCGCGUAGGCGGGCUGCCGAGUCCGGGGUGAAAUCCUCCCGCUCAACGGGAGAACGGCCCCGGGUACUGGCGGCCUCGAGGCGGGUAGGGGCGUGCGGAACACUGGGUGGAGCGGUGAAAUGCGUUGAUAUCCAGUGGAACUCCGGUGGCGAAGGCGGCACGCUGGACCCGUUCUGACGCUGAGGCGCGAAAGCCAGGGGAGCGAACGGG
rnacentral:rRNA from 1 species